UACGUAGGGUGCGAGCGUUAAUCGGAAUUACUGGGCGUAAAGCGUGCGCAGGCGGUUCGUUGUGUCGGUGGUGAAAUCCCCGGGCUUAACCUGGGAAUGGCCAUGGAAACUGGCGAACUGGAGUGCGGCAGAGGGGGGUGGAAUUCCGCGUGUAGCAGUGAAAUGCGUAGAGAUGCGGAGGAACACCGAUGGCGAAGGCAGCCCCCUGGGCUAGCACUGACGCUCAGGCACGAAAGCGCGGGGAGCAAACAGG
rnacentral:rRNA from 1 species